UCCGCCUCGGUUUCGGGCAGUUUGAUUCGGUUACCUGAUCGUGCGGCAACCGCCUGACCGUUACCCCUGAACAUGCAACCACCCGAAUCGGUUACUUCACAGGGCAUGUCCCUUCAGUCUUUGGACGAAUCGGUUACUUUAUAAGAUACGCCCAUUCAGUCUUCGAAAACCUCAACCAUCCAAGUAGUGCUUCUUGACUUCGCAAUCAAUUGGCCUGAAAACGAAGGAUCCAUUGGCCCAUCGCACCCGUUUUCCAGUCUUGCCGAAUUGUAUUGCCAGAUCUCCGAAUACCCAAUUUGACCCUACGGGCCCAACUUGUCCUCGUAAGCCCAUGGGGCGAAACCCUAAACUCCACUUUUCGUAACUCAACAACUUGCCGCCCCCCAGAGAAUGUCAAGAGUCACAUCUCAAGGGCAGUGACUGUUGAUAUGACAUAUUCUUCCCUCUGUCUCAGGUCUGCAAAAUUAUCAUUACGAUGGUCGAAAAGGGGAGGGCAAGGUUAAAAUCUUUUAUCACUAGCAUUCUUCCUCCUACCUCAUCCAAAAUUCCCGUGGAACAUCCAACGCACCUUUCUCCCCACUUCACUUCAGCUUUUUGUGCGUUAGGUACUCAUAUUGCCAUGAAGACCACAACCCUGAUUCCGUUUGAUGGAUCUGCUCUUCAGCUUGCUAUGAGCUCAUCUUCCACCACCACUCCAGUGGUGCGUUCCUUCGUUUCCACCGUCGCCGAAGGAGCCUCAACGCUAAAUUUUCUGCAGCACAACCAUUGUCUCGCCAUUCACGAUGGAGCCUUCAACGCAUCAUGUCUCUGGGACGGAAUCAAAACCAAUCUUCUGGAUCUCAGGGAUGAAUUUCGCACUUGACACGAAAGGAUGGAGAAGAGUUUAGGGAAACAAUGUAAACAACAAGGGCUUAACAAAGCUAUUUUGUUGUCCGGCCAAAGCUUCAACAUUCAAGACACAAUCAUCCUAGCCAUGACUACCUUCUGGGACCUGGAGGUUAGUGUUUUCCUGCUAUCCUCAGGGCCAAUUGGCCCGACCUUGAUGGAUGUCUCCAUGAUCGCUCACCUCUCGAUUGUAGGGGAGGACCCACUAGUUGAAACCCUUACCGGCCAGGAACCAGCAACCGACCAUCCAGGGUGGACGAUAACGACAUCCUCGCACAACAAAGUCGUGGCCUGGGGGCCUUAUAUGAAAAUGCAUUGUGGGGCGAAAGACACCUCAGUGACCGACGAGAAGCACGUUGUUGUUCUGCUAUACUGGCUCUGCAGAUAUGUAAUCUGCCCAUCUUCCAAAUCUAUCACAUAUACCUAUACUAACAUCGUCAUCCACCUGACUCAGGGCCGAUUUUUCUCAGUCAGUACAUUGCUCAUUUCCAGCCUUUUUUAGGGCCUUUCCAAAACUUGCCCGAAAAUUUCCAAUUCCACCAAACUUGACACUGUUUUUUCCGGUCCCGUUUGGUUUUUGGAACUCUGGUUCCGUCUAUACUUCCAUCCUCUCUUUUUCGGGUGACAAUGCCUUCUUCUCAAUUCUGAUAUAUCAUUCGGCCAAUAUCUUCUCUUCCUUUGCUCCGACUGAAAACACCAAAAAGAUCCUGAGACCACCCUCAAAGCUAUUCUGGAAAAACCGACCUUACCGACUCAAACUACUAUCCCUAUUUCCAUCUUACUGCUUUCGCCACACCACCUUUCUACGUCUCCCCUUCAAUUCCUUUUCCACAUCCGCCUCCCUCCGAAUCGCCAUAUCCAACCUUCAAAUAUUGCUGGGAGGCGGCUUUAAAGCCUCGAUCUCUUUUUACUGGGAGAAAGAUCGAAAAAAUGAAAAAAACAUAUGUUGCAUUCCCCUACUAUUCGCAUUACUUGGCACGUCAACUCGGCUGCUGCCAAGGCAUCCAGAUUUAACCUUCACUUAUCACCUCAUCCGAACUCUUGCCCAAAACGUCGUGGACGAAUACGUUAUCAAGCCAUACACCGACCAACUCACCAACUACCUUAUUAACCACAUCUUUACUCCCUUCCGUGAAUGUCCCAAUACAAUCCAAGCCUUUCGAAAAUGUUGGUCGGAAAUCGCUUGACCCGUGGUCGGAAGACCCAUUGAUGAUUGUAUAAAGAUCUUUUUUUUCCUCCGACCGCCCAAUUGGGGUCCCAGUUGAUUCUACUGCCGCAACCCUUAACAGGGCAAGUUGCCUUGGGACCCCCACGACCGAAACGACAAUGAGGGACGCAAGCCGGUGGGGCCAGGUCUUCCCGGAAAAAGGCCAAGACUCUUGCAACGGCCCAACCGGCAAGUUCGGAAGAGCACCGCAAAGCAAGGGAAGACUACAUGGCCUCUCUACCAUUACACAUGACCCUUUUCCUCGAAUUCCAAACGCCUGUUGCACGCUGCCGCCAGUCCAACUGCGAAUCCAACCAUCGCGCCGACGGGCCCAACUCCUAGCUUGGCCAUUCCUGCACCAAAAGAACCAACUCCUGCCUCAAUUCCUCUACCAACUUCAAGCCAUCCAGCCACACGAACUCCUACACCUGAGGUAUUCCUUAUAUUUUAACCAUAAAUGGCAUUUCAACGUGAUAAUAACCCACCAAUGGAUUUGCCGAUGACCGACUAUAACGUAGAGGCGCUGGUCAAAAGGCAAGCCUUACCUGCCGAUGUUUCAAGGCCGGAACCCUUAGUGCCUGCCGAAAUUGGAGAUUGUCGAAGUUUUAGAAGAAGGGUCGGGGACGGUCAACCAACUAGUGAACGACCAAGGUGCGGAAGCAUCGGUUGAGAGGCAAAGACCGCCAGGAGCAACCGAAUUGCAAAUGAUACCUAAAGAAGCUCCUAAGCACCCCUGAUAGAUAGUGAUUUGUUGAUUUAAGUACAAGGAAUUUGUAGUGAAAAUAAAGUGAAGUGUGCAAUAUUGUGUAUGGUUAUAUAUAAAUUAAGAAAUAAAGUUGUAU